rnacentral:rRNA from 1 species
UACGUAGGCGGCGAGCGUUGUCCGGAUUUACUGGGCGUAAAGGGAGCGUAGGCGGACUUUUAAGUGAGAUGUGAAAUACCCGGGCUCAACUUGGGUGCUGCAUUUCAAACUGGAAGUCUAGAGUGCAGGAGAGGAGAAUGGAAUUCCUAGUGUAGCGGUGAAAUGCGUAGAUAUUAGGAGGAACACUAGUUGCGAAGGCGGCUCUCUGGACUGUAACUGACACUGAGGCACGAAAGCGUGGGUAGCAAACAGGAUUAGAUACCCU